rnacentral:rRNA from 1 species
AUUGAACGCUGGCGGCAGGCUUAACACAUGCAAGUCGAGCGGGGGAGGGUAGCUUGCUACCUAACCUAGCGGCGGACGGAUGAGUAAUGCUUAGGAAUCUGCCUAUUAGUGGGGGACAACAUUCCGAAAGGAAUGCUAAUACCGCAUACGCCCUACGGGGGAAAGCAGGGGAUCUUCGGACCUUGCGCUAAUAGAUGAGCCUAAGUCGGAUUAGCUAGUUGGUGGGGUAAAGGCCUACCAAGGCGACGAUCUGUAGCGGGUCUGAGAGGAUGAUCCGCCACACUGGGACUGAGACACGGCCCAGACUCCUACGGGAGGCAGCAGUGGGGAAUAUUGGACAAUGGGGGGAACCCUGAUCCAGCCAUGCCGCGUGUGUGAAGAAGGCCUUUUGGUUGUAAAGCACUUUAAGCGAGGAGGAGGCUACCGAGAUUAAUACUCUUGGAUAGUGGACGUUACUCGCAGAAUAAGCACCGGCUAACUCUGUGCCAGCCGCCGCAGUAAAAC